rnacentral:rRNA from 1 species
AUUGAACGCUAGCGGCAUGCCUUACACAUGCAAGUCGAACGAGUGGCGGACGGGUGAGUAAUAUAUCGGAACGUGCCCAGUAGCGGGGGAUAACUACUCGAAAGGGUGGCUAAUACCGCAUACUAUUGGAGCGGCCGAUAUGGGAUUAGCUAGUUGGUGGGGUAAAGGCUCACCAAGGCGACGCUCCGUAGCUGGUCUGAGAGGAGGACAAGCCACACUGGGACUGAGACACGGCCCAGACUCCUACGGGAGGCAGCAGUGGGGAAUUUUGGACAAUGGGGGAAAGCCUGAUCCAGCCAUGCCGCGUGUAUGAGAAGGCCUUCGGGUUGUAAAGUACUUUUGGCAGAGAAGCGGUAUCUGCAGAAUAAGCACCGGCUAACUACGUGCCAGCAGCCGCGGUAAUUC